rnacentral:rRNA from 1 species
UUGAGGUUAAGCUACUAAGAGCACACGGAGGAUGCCUAGGCGCUAGGAGUCGAUGAAGGACGUGGCGAACAACGAAACUGCCUCGGGGAGCUGUAAGCAAGCUUUGAUCCGGGGGUGUCCGAAUGGGGAAACCCGGCUGUGGUAAUACGCAGUCACUCCCACCUGAAUACAUAGGGUGGGUAGAGACAGACCAGGGGAACUGAAACAUCUAAGUACCCUGAGGAAGAGAAAACAAUAGUGAUUCCGUCAGUAGCGGCGAGCGAACGCGGAUUAGCCCAAACCAAGGAGCUUGCUCCUUGGGGUUGUGGGACGUCUCACAUGGAGUUACAAAGGAAUAUAUUAAGCGAAGAGGUCUGGAAAGGCCCGGCAUAGAAGGUAAAAGCCCUGUAGCUGAAAGUGUGUUCCCUCCGAGACGUAUCCCGAGUAGUGCGGGGCACGUGAAACCCCGUAUGAAUCCAGCAGGACCAUCUGCUAAGGCUAAAUACUCCCUAGCGACCGAUAGUGAAACAGUACCGUGAGGGAAAGGUGAAAAGCACCCCGGAAGGGGAGUGAAAUAGAACCUGAAACCGUGUGCUUACAAAAAGUCAGAGCCCUAUUAAUGGGUGAUGGCGUGCCUUUUGUAGAAUGAACCGGCGAGUUACGUUCCCGUGCAAGGUUAAGCUGAGAAGGCGGAGCCGCAGCGAAAGCGAGUCUGAAUAGGGCGACAUAUAGUACGUGGACGUAGACCCGAAACCGAGUGAUCUACCCCUGUCCAGGGUGAAGGUGCGGUAACACGCACUGGAGGCCCGAACCCACGCAUGUUGAAAAAUGCGGGGAUGAGGUGGGGGUAGCGGAGAAAUUCCAAUCGAACUCGGAGAUAGCUGGUUCUCCCCGAAAUAGCUUUAGGGCUAGCCUCGGAUGAAGAGUCGUGGAGGUAGAGCACUGAUUGGGUGCGGGGCCCGCAAGGGUUACCAAGCUCAGUCAAACUCCGAAUGCCAUGUACUUAUAUCCGGGAGUCAGACAGUGAGUGCUAAGAUCCAUUGUCGAAAGGGAAACAGCCCAGACCAUCAGCUAAGGUCCCCAAGUGUGUGUUGAGUGGAAAAGGAUGUGGAGUUGCACAGACAACCAGGAUGUUGGCUUAGAAGCAGCCACCAUUGAAAGAGUGCGUAAUAGCUCACUGGUCGAGUGACUCUGCGCCGAAAAUGUAACGGGGCUAAACACACCACCGAAGCUAUGGCUAGAUGCUUUGCAUCUGGGGUAGGGGAGCGUUGUAUAGGGGUUGAAGGUGUACCGUGAGGAGCGCUGGACACUAUACAAGUGAGAAUGCCGGUAUAAGUAACGAAAAGAUCAGUGAGAAUCUGAUCCGCCGAAAGCCCAAGGUUUCCUGAGGAAGGCUCGUCCUCUCAGGGUAAGUCGGGACCUAACGCGAGGCCGAAAGGCGUAGUGGAUGGACAACAGGUUGAAAUUCCUGUACCACCGUAAUCCGUUAUGAGUAAUGGGGUGACGCAGCAGGGUAGUGACGCGGACUGAUGGAAUAGUCCGUCUAAGCAGUGAGGCUUGUGUGUAGGCAAAUCCGCACACUAAUAGGCUGGGCUGUGAAGGGGAGCGAAAAUUAUAGUAGCGAAGGUCAUGAUCUCACACUGCCAAGAAAAGCCUCUAACCAGGAGAAGGUGCCCGUACCGCAAACCGACACAGGUAGGCGAGAAGAGAAUUCUAAGGCGCGCGGAAGAACUCUCGUUAAGGAACUCGGCAAAAUGACCCCGUAACUUCGGGAGAAGGGGUGCCCCGGUAGUGUGAAUAGCACGAGGGGGCCGCAGUGAAAAGGCCCAAGCGACUGUUUAGCAAAAACACAGGUCUGUGCGAAGCCGUAAGGCGAAGUAUACGGGCUGACGCCUGCCCGGUGCUGGAAGGUUAAGGGGAGUGGUUAGGGGAAACCCGAAGCUAUGAACCGAAGCCCCAGUAAACGGCGGCCGUAACUAUAACGGUCCUAAGGUAGCGAAAUUCCUUGUCAGGUAAAUUCUGACCCGCACGAAUGGCGUAACGAUUUGGGCGCUGUCUCAACGAGAGAUCCGGUGAAAUUUUAAUACCUGUGAAGAUGCAGGUUACCCGCGACAAGACGGAAAGACCCCAUGGAGCUUUACUGCAGCUUGAUAUUGAAUUUGGGUACGAUUUGUACAGGAUAGGUGGGAGCCUGAGAAAUAGGAGCGCAAGCUUCUAUGGAGGCGCCGUUGGGAUACCACCCUGAUCGUAUCUAGGUUCUAACCUAGGACCGUAAACCGGUUCGGGGACAGUGUCAGGUGGGCAGUUUGACUGGGGCGGUCGCCUCCUAAAGAGUAACGGAGGCGCCCCAAGGUUCCCUCAGAAUGGUUGGAAAUCAUUCGAAGAGUGCAAAGGCAGAAGGGAGCUUGACUGCGAGACCUACAAGUCGAGCAGGGACGAAAGUCGGGCUUAGUGAUCCGGUGGUACCGCAUGGAAGGGCCAUCGCUCAACGGAUAAAAGCUACCCUGGGGAUAACAGGCUUAUCUCCCCCAAGAGUCCACAUCGACGGGGAGGUUUGGCACCUCGAUGUCGGCUCAUCGCAUCCUGGGGCUGAAGUAGGUCCCAAGGGUUGGGCUGUUCGCCCAUUAAAGCGGUACGCGAGCUGGGUUCAGAACGUCGUGAGACAGUUCGGUCCCUAUCUGUCGUGGGCGCAGGAAAUUUGAGAGGAGCUGUCCUUAGUACGAGAGGACCGGGAUGGACGCACCUCUGGUGUACCAGUUGUUCCGCCAGGAGCAUAGCUGGGUAGCUACGUGCGGACGGGAUAAGCGCUGAAAGCAUCUAAGCGUGAAGCCCCCCUCAAGAUGAGAUUUCCCAAUUAGUAAGACCCCUUGAAGACUACGAGGUAGAUAGGUUGGAGGUGGAAGUGCAGUAAUGCACGGAGCUGACCAAUACUAAUCGGUCGAGGGCUUAUCCUAAA